GACGAACGCUGGCGGCGUGCCUAAUACAUGCAAGUCGAACGAGAGCGACCGGUGCUUGCACUGGUCAAUCUAGUGGCGAACGGGUGAGUAACACGUGGGUAACCUGCUCAUCAGAGGGGAAUAACAUCCGGAAACGGAUGCUAAAACCGCAUAGGUCUUCGAGCCGCAUGGCUUGAAGAGGAAAAGAGGCGCAAGCUUCUGCUGAUGGAUGGACCCGCGGUGCAUUAGCUAGUUGGUGAGGUAACGGCUCACCAAGGCCGUGAUGCAUAGCCGACCUGAGAGGGUGAUCGGCCACAUUGGGACUGAGACACGGCCCAAACUCCUACGGGAGGCAGCAGUAGGGAAUCUUCCGCAAUGGACGCAAGUCUGACGGAGCAACGCCGCGUGAGUGAAGAAGGUUUUCGGAUCGUAAAACUCUGUUGUUAGAGAAGAACAAGUGCUAGAGUAACUGUUAGCGCCUUGACGGUAUCUAACCAGAAAGCCACGGCUAACUACGUG
rnacentral:rRNA from 1 species